CAGUAGCCGCGGUAAAACGUAGGGUGCGAGCGUUAAUCGGAAUUACUGGGCGUAAAGCGUGCGCAGGCGGUUCGUUAAGACAGAUGUGAAAUCCCCGGGCUUAACCUGGGAACUGCAUUUGUGACUGGCCGGCUAGAGUAUGGCAGAGGGAGGUGGAAUUCCACGUGUAGCAGUGAAAUGCGUAGAUAUGUGGAGGAACACCGAUGGCGAAGGCAGCCUCCUGGGCCAAUACUGACGCUCAUGCACGAAAGCGUGGGGAGCAAACAGGAUUAGAUACCCCCGUAGUCCCUGUCUCUUAUAC
rnacentral:rRNA from 1 species